CACCCUGUAGGAAAUAAGGGGGUUGUUACGUAAAGGCGCACGGCAGGGAAGAAGGAAUUCCUUAUUUAAACGGUUGAGACUGGACAUGCAGUGAUGUACUCUGAGAGCUAUUUAAUUGGUGCCCAUUCCUCAGAGUACAUGAGACAGUCGGUGCUGGCCAGCUGGCCUCCUGACGCUCCAUGACACAUAGGGAACCCCGUCCAAGUCGACUUGCCAUCCAUCUAUUUUUGAGUCCUUUUAACACUUGAGAGAGAGAGAGAGAGAGAACAACAGAACAGGCAGGCAGGUUGCGUUUAGCCCCCGAACUGCUUGCAGAGCCCGAAAGCUUGGGAGCAAAUAGAAUUUCUCUGGCUCCUUGCGAUCAAACAUCGACACCCCGUAACUCACCCUAUUAUUAGUCUACGGAUCCCACACUCCGGCAUACUUACAUACUACCAGGAAAGGGCGGGGGACAGAGAGGGCUGUGCCAAGGUGUUUAGAGAGCAGAAUCUGGGACUCAAGCUGUGGCAAGGUUGACAAGGAGAGGGAGGAGAGGCAGCCCAGAGAACCACUGAGCUGCCCGCAUGAGCUUCGAGAGAGACAGUGUAGAAGACACACAAACAUUCCUAGUUCCUUGCCUUGGUUGGAUAACACGGCUGCAAAAGGUGAAGCCAAGGGCUGAAUCACACUCACCUGGAGAGGCCAGCCUGACCCGCUCACAUCUCAGCCCCAGAGAGGCCGCGUGGUGAGGACACAAUGAGAAGGUGGCUGUCCACAUGCCUGGAAGAGUGCCCUACCAGGAACCUUGAUUUUGGACUUCCCAGCCUCCAGAACUCUGAGAA